rnacentral:lncRNA from 1 species
GAGAUUUGCUCUGAUAUUCUCAUUUAAAUAUGAAUAGGUAAAUACGGGCGGGUUUGGGCAGUUUGGUCACAUUAACCAAAAUUUUUUUCGGGCGGCUUUGGGCGGUUUGGUAACGAAAGGGUUAAGAGGGUCAAGAAUUUGGAAAAUGUGCUUUGUUCGUUUUUCACCAGAUACUCAGAUGAUGAAAUUGGAAAGCUUCUCGAUUUGUUUGUAAGAUUAAAGAUAGCAGCUAUGCAGUUUACGCGGUAGGUCAUUAUUUCAGCACAUGAAGUUUAAGAAAAUAUGAUUUGAUCUUGUGUUUGUAGAGCGAAACUGUGAGCAUAAGUGCUAAAUUGUUUCUCGUUUGUAAAAUCAACUUACUAUAACUGUGUGUGCACAUGCUUACCUACCUUAUUACUUUAAUGUUAGGUUUUAAAAGAUUGAUUGGAUAAAUUUAGGGCCGAACCGUUUGUUUUUUGUUCAUUAUUGUUUGACAGAUGCAAAAGCUGUCCAGGAAAGUAGGACUUCCAAUAAGAUAAGAGAAAAGUUUGUUUGUCUUUAAUAUCCAUUUUUGUUUCAUCUGUGUAUGGUAUGUAUGAAAAAUGCUGCGAGUUGUAAUUUGGACAUUAAUUUGAGUGAUCUCUGAAUUAGUGGUACGUUCCGUUUGCUUUUAUGAUGCAAUAUUUUCUUAACCCAUGUAUUUUCAUAUUACAAUUUAUGUAUGAAAAAAAUAUUGCAAUUUGUUGUGGCUUCCUAGUAUUUACUCAUCUCAUUACCAUGUGAUUGCUAGUUCACUAUAUUAUUACUUUUGUAUUAAAACAAUUAGAAAUUAAAACAAAUAGUAAUUAGUAAUUAAAACAAAUAGUAAUUGAAUGCAAAAGGCUCUUUUCUUCAGGAAAAAAGUAUUGCUGAGCAAUUUUACUUUUAGCAUGGUUGUCAGUUUCCGUCUUUGACAGAUACAACAAUGAUGUGUUAAAUCCUAGAAUGUUCUAUUGAGACAUGAGAACUUCAUGGCAUUUAGCUGAAAGUAAUAACUCUUAUAUGUGUGUCUAUGCCUUUGUAUUUUAUUCAUUGGCAGAUGUGUUGGAUAACAGAUGAAAAUUCAAUGAAUUAGCUAUCAGCUCUUUUUGUUUUCCCUGUUUGUCUUUCCUCAACAUCCAAAGACUUGUAUUUACCUACACAACUGAUUUAACAGUGACUGUUUUACCCCUUCAGCUGUGUCAUUUUGCAGUUUGGAUAUGAACAGAGUAAGCAUGUUUCAUUGUUAUAACUAUUGAAAUUAGUAAUGUUUACUUGCAAUGUAGGAUAGUAAAAGGAAAAUGGUAUAGUGGCUUUUUGUGUAAACGUUGUUGUCAGUAUUCUGGAAAAUGUGCUUUAUUUGUUUCUCACCAGAUAUUUAGAUGAUGAAAUUGGAAAGUGUCUUGGUACAUGUCACAGAUUGAAGAUAGGUAGGUUAUUGCUUUCGCAUAUUAAGGUAAAGAAAAUAUCAGUUGAUAGAUGCAAAAGCCCUCCAGGAAAAGUACGACCGCCAGUAAAAUUAAAGAAAAACUUUGUUUACAGUUAAUGUCCAUUUCUUUUUCACCUGUGUAUUGUAUGCUUGGAAAUAUAACUAUUAUAAAGAUAACUUUAAAUUUCACAUGUACAGAUUUUGUAUGUUCUAAUUUGCCUGUGUGAAGGUUUCAUCUCCUUUUUUUUUUUGUCCCUUGUAGUAUUUAUUUUUGCUUUGAGAUGAAGAUAGAUUUUGUUAUGAAAUUUUACUGUUCGGUUCAUGCCUGUUAUUGGUAAUAUUUUACAUUGCCUAUUCUGCCUUGGUUGCGUAAAUACUCUGUUCACAGAAAAAAACCUGACGGAAAUGUAUGAGGAUGUUGAAGACUGUUAAUAUUGUCAUGGAGUUACAUUCAGUGAAUUAGUGAUUGGAGACUAAUUCUGUUGGUAAGUCUGGAUUUUAUGUAUUCAGUGUAUGUGAAUCUCUCUACCCUUGAAGCACUUUUUCCUUUCUCCCUUUUUAGUGUUAAAUAUUUUGAGCAAAAUUUAGCUUCAUGCUGUGGAAUAUCAAAUGUUUGAUCUCAUUAGAAAAAAAAUCCCAAAGAAAAUGCUGUUGUGGAUACAUAAGCUUCGAAAAUUAGGGCUUUUGGUUUCAUUAACAAAGUAUUUAGAAAUGAUUUUCUUAUGAGGCUUCCUCAUUAAAUAAAGUUGCAAGAGGUUUGAGUUUUGCAUUAUCUUUUGUCUAGGAUGAAUAUAACAAAUAUGUACAGCAAUACAAAUAACCAAAGAAAUCAAGCUUUGAAAAGAGCCCUCCAUAAAUUAUGUCUCUGAAAGAAUAAAGAAAUCUUUACAAGAAAGGAAAGGUGUUUUGAGAGUAGGUUGAACAAUUGUUUAAAAGUUGCCCUGUACUGAUGUGAUCAAUCACUUGAAGUUAAUUAUGAUUUUGCAGCAAUAGAUUGGCAGUUAUGGCCUCCAGUGUCUUCUGGAUGAAUUUAAUAAUCGCACAUAAUGAUGGAAUGGCAAAAGAACUUGAGCUCAAAAUGAAUUCUCAUUAAAAUUGAAGUUUCCAAAUGAAAUAUUAUUCCAAAGGAAAAACAGUCAGAAAUUGAUAAAAUUAUCUGUUGAAAUUAAGAAGUUUUUCUUGUGAUCACAAGAAGCUCAUUAUCAUUAAAAUGUCAGUUAUUUCACUUGCUAAUUAAAUUGUGCUACUGAAACAAAAUUUAUGAAAUACAUUGUGAAUAUAUACAAACAAAAUAAUUGAGUGGUCUGGAAAUGAUAAUAACUCACAAACGUAAAAGAGAAACAUCAAAAAGUGCCAAACAAAUAUUUUAAUUUUAUUUUAUUUAUUGAAAUUGUACAAGUGAUGAAACUAUAUGAAAACUGAAAAAAUUGCAUUGGCAUAUUUACUUAUCAAAUCUUCUGUAGGCAUCUGGAUAGUGGUAAUAUACUCCAUGUUUGACAAAACACUGAUACUAUUAUGAAUAUAAUUGUCUGUGUUUUAAAUGGCUAUCAUGCAUCUAUAAAAAAAAAGAUUCAGAUGUAAUUAUUUAUCAAAUCUUAUGAAAAGCUUAAUAUGGCAAUGUCUACUGAAAACCACCCUUACAGAAUGAAAUAUAUUCUGCAGAGAGUAAUCUCCCCUAUCUUGUAUCAGUAAAAAUUUUUGUUUUAAGACAUUUACUAAUUAACAUCCAAAAUAAAUAGUGCUGUUUAUGAUGUAAAGAUAAUUUUUUAUGCUUAAAAAUACAAUUCUUGUAUUCUUUUGGUGGUUUUAGUCUUUGGUAUGUUUAUUUUUAUUGAUCUCUCCCAAGAUAACCAGGUGUAAGAUGUGACAAUCAAUGUGGGACAAACGAUAUUUUUGUCCAAUGCACUGACCCUAUCAUCCAAUGUCAGUAUACAUGCACAUAUAUAAUUUUGUUCAUGUUCUGUGGUGAUGUGGAUUAGACGGUUCAACAGUAUCUGAGGGGCCUGAGAUUCUCAGCUUAAGUGUGGUGUGUGUGUGUGUGUAUAUAUAUGUUACCAUGUGUGUAUCGUUGGCAAUUUUUUUCACUCCGUCUUCCCUUCCUUGGAUCUUUGCUUUUUCUAUGUUUCUGACGAAGAGCUCCGCUCGAAACAUUAAAUCCUCCUUUUUUUCCUUUCCUGAGCGUCCAAUAACACUAUACUUGUUCAACAUCCUCGCGUUGUGUUUUCUCUUUGAGUUAACUAUAUAAGUAACUUGCACGGACUCUGGAAAUACAUCUGCCAUCACCAGAGAAAACAAAGCAACUACCCCCAGCGACUUGCCUGACCUUUCAUUGGACAAAAGCUACCUACCUGCCAUUCUAAUGGACACUGGCUAAACAUCACUGCUGAUAUUUUUGUAUAAAUAGACAUCAUAAAUCGCUGUAAGAGCAGUUGGCUUUUUGGUAGUCGACUGAUGUAAAUCGUGUCCCUCUCGCCUGCCACGCUCGCCACUCACGCCGCCUCGAACCUUUGUACUGCUAUUUCACGCCUGAAAUAAAUUGCUGUAUAAACUUA